rnacentral:lncRNA from 10 species
GUUCUCCCUCUGUCACCCAGAGCUGGAGUGCGGUGGCAUAAUCACAGCUAAUUGCAGCCUCAACAUUCCAGGCCCAAGGAUCCUCCCUUCAGCCUUCCAGGUAGCUGGGACCACAGGCAUGUACCACCACACCCAGCUAAUUUUUUAAAUUUCUGUAGAAAUAGGGAUCUCACUAUGUUGCCCAGGCUGGUCUCAAACUCCUGGGCUCAAGUGAUCCUCCUACCUUGGCCUCCCAAAGUGCUGGAAUUACAGGCAUGAACCACUAUGUCUGGCCAAAUUUACCCUUUACAAAGUAUAUAAUUCAGUGGUUUUUAGUAUACUCAUAGAGUUGUGAAGCAUCACUAUCUAAUUUUAUUUAAUUUUUAAUUUUUUAAUUUUUUGAGAUGGAGUGUCGCUCUCUCACCCAGGCUGGAGUGCAGUGGCGCUAUCUUGGCUCACUGCAACAUCUGCUUCCCAGGUUCAAGUGAUUAUCCUGCCUCAGCCUCCCAAGUUGCUGGGAUUACAGGCGUGUGCCACCACGCCUGGCUAAUUUACUAAACUAAUAAAUUACUAAAUUAGUAAGUUACUAGUAAAUUAGUAAUUACUAAAAUAUAAUUUUUAGUAGAGAUGGGAUUUCAUCAUGUUGGCCAGGCUGGUCAUGAACUCCUGACCUCAAUGGAUCCUCCUGCCUCAGCUUCCUGAGUAGCUGGGACCACAGGUGCACACCACCACGCCCAGGUAAUUAAUUUUUAUUUUUUGUAGAGUCGGGGGUCUCCCUAUGUUUCCCAGGCUGGCCUCGAACUCCUGACCUCAAGUGAUCCUCCCACCUCAGCCUCCCCGAGUGCUGGGAUUAAAGACGUGAGCCACGGCACCUGGCCUGAAUUUUCCUCAAAUUCAAAAAAUCCUGAUGAAGGUUUGGCUAAAAUCUUUGGUGAGUUACCCCACUCCCUGUGGAACCUCAGGCUGGAUUUGAAGAGUUGCGUGCAUGGUCCUCAUUGUCUCCCAGGUAACCUGUUCCCGCUGCUGUGAAGGGAAGGCAGGUGCUCUUCCUUGAGGCUAGAAUCUGUCUACGUGUCACAGUCUCAGGAAAUUAAGCAAAACAGAUGAUAAACACCUCAAAAGGACCCUACUGAGCAUCAGUGGAGCAGAGCAGGGCCAUGUGGGACUGCGGCGUCAGAUGCCACCUCACACUAGCUGUGACACACCUGCCUCGCCAGUUUCUGCUCUGAGGCCCCAAAGCCGAGCUGAACCUCCUCCAGGGGUUCUCAGCCCUAACUGAGCAUGAAAACCCCUGGGGCAAUCCUCUUUUUAACAAUUGAGACAUUCCACACACACCCCACAUCAGAUUUUGGGGUGUGGGGAUAGACCUUCACAUUUGUAGUUUUCUAACCCUCCAGGGGACACUAGGCUGAGACUCAUUGGUCUCCACUCUGAACCUUCCACUGAACAUGUGAGAAAAACUAAGGCCCAGGGAAGUCUUUAGCAGAGAGCUGAGACGGAGAAAAGGGUUCUGAACCACAGCUGUCUGCUGAAGGAAGCUGUCCAAAGGCCAGUGAAGUCUCUCCUGAGGGUGCCUGGGCUGUGCAUCAGGAGUGAAGGUUGAGGGUCACCUUAGGUGUGAGAAGGAGCAACUGGGAGAGUGGCGCUGAUGCUUCCCCCCGGGUUAGGAGGCAUUUGGAUCACAGAGCGAUGCCUGUUCAUUCCUGCUUGCAAGGGAGCAGAUCUCUCGACACCCGAUGGGCCUCUAUUCCGUUCCGGCAGCUGUCCGUGUCAGGAGCGCUGGGCUUGCUCCUCCCCACGGGAGCCAUCACAGAGGCCUCGGGCAGUCUGCAUAGACAACUGCCUGGCAGGUGACCAGGAGGGGAUGCAUGAGCAGAUGCAGGUAGCACUCGCAGUCCCCCUAGCUGUGCCCUCAGCACCUGCUGUCUAGGAGGCAGAAGCCUUGUUCUCGGCCUUGCAGGUGACCCCAGUGUCUCUGAAUUCGGCCCCAUAUGUGUAGGAGGGGAGUGAUUGCAUCUGAAGAUGGGAGUCUGGUUGGGGGUUUGGGAAGCUCCCAUCACCCCUCAAGAGUCCACUGACCAGCCCAGCUCACACCAGGUGGGCCUUGGCACUGGAGGCCACGGCUCAACUCUGCAGUUCCCUCUGGGCAGCAUUUCCAGGGACUCGUAGGUCAGCAUGGUCAUCAAGGACAGGUGGUGAGAGCAGCUCCUCAUUGUCCUGGUGACCCCGAUGGUUCAUUUUCUGGUGUCUCUGUGGUGAGCUCCUGUUACAUCAAGCGAGUGGAAACCACCGAGGACCAACAGCCCUGGAAAUGCACUGAGAAUGCAGGAUGAGUGGGCUUUGUGAGGACUGUUUUCUGUGACUUAGCAAGGAAAGCCUGGAAGGGAAAGUAAAACUGCUUCUUCCCAGGGAAGCCAGAAACCUGAGAACUUAAAAGGGAAGGAGAACUUAAUAUAUUUCAAAAAUGUAACCCUUGUGAAUUAGCAACAGCUUUAUAAACAAAGAGAUUUCCGAGCUUAUAGAAUCUAUUCUGCUUUGUUUCUGCCCCCAUGGCUCCUACCCCUGUUUUUGUGGGUACAAUUUUCAUAUAGAACAUUUUUACACAAGCUUCAAAACUCUCUGAGGACAGCUUUCCCCUUUGUGUCUGUCGGGUCCCAGGCAGUCACAUCCCAGGAAGUGCUGGGGUUGGGCUCCUUGCUCCACAUCCUUCUUCAGUGGCACGAAGCGUGGGGUGGAGUGUGUGAGUCAUGUGUGAUCUUGGUGUGGGCUAUGGCUGGUCUGCAGCACCCCUUCAAUGACUGCUUCAAGGGCUUUUCAUGAUGCUUGUAGCUCAUGAGCUAGUGUUUCCUAGAUGCUGUUUCCAGGUGUCUUGCAUGUCACACACUGGCCUACCAGGGCUGGAGUGAGAUCAUGAGCGCCAGAUUGUUGGUGAAGGAAGUUGACAGAGACAUCGAAUGUCGGUGAACAGGAGUGACCUUGGGUCUCAAUAAAUACUGUGGUCAACUGAAUCCAGAACCCACCCUUACCAGCAGGGCCCACUUCUUCCCCAGCAGGCCGAGCUCUUCCCCUCCUGUCUUCCCUGGCCCUUGCUUUGUAGCUCUGUGUGGCUGUGUCAUGUCUGGUUGUAUCUGUAUAUACUUCUGCCUCUCCCGCUAUCUAGAUGGCUCGGGGAGGCACACCACACACCAGGUCACCUUCCUCUCUGAACCCCCAGCACCUCAUACUGUUUCUGUGCAGAGAUAAGGCUGGGUGAAAGCUUGUGUGAAUGAUCUGAAGUCUUCUACUCUAGGCCAGUCUCCAGGAGCAUUAUGAUCUUUAGGAGGGUGGGCUUGGUUCCUCUGUACAAUAAUGGGUCAUAAAACUGAGUGGUCAAGAUCAUCCCGGUGAGGGCAGUCCGUGUGUUGCCAUAGUUGCUGUACCGGUUAAGAAUGCACCUGGCUGCAAUUUCCUGAAAACCUGACGUAUAGUGGCUUAAACAAAGAGUGGUUUAUUUUCCUUCUGUCAUAGCAAUCUGGGGGAGGCCACUGUGGCUUUGGCGCAGGAGGUCGGGAAAGGCCCGCUUCUCUGAUAUCAUUGGGGGCCUCCCCAGUGCUUGUGUGGCAGAAUGACAAGAGGAAGAAGAAGGAGAAUUAUGGCACUGAGUAUCAUGAGAUUUGGGGUCAUAUAUCUUUAGUGGGCGGUGUUUGCUGCCCCAAAUGUCUCAUGCCAUUAAAAUGUUCUGGAAAUGAUUUAGGUAGUUGGAGUUUCCUUCCCAAAGACAAGGCAUUUACAGCAUGAUGUCCAAUAUCCAUUGAGUUUGUGUCAUGCAUUCAUUGUAUUCAUAGUCUGCUUUAGGUACUUAGCAAAAUAUUGCUGAUAUUAACAUGCCUUUGUUUGCUUCACUGGAGAUGAAAUUGUGCUCCAAGUGUUUUCCAAGGUUCCGUAUGACCCAUCAUUUGAUGAAACAAGAACAGCAGUCAGAUCCAUUACAAAGAGAGACACACAAAAAAGCAAGUAUAUGUCGUUAACCUGACAUGUGUACAUACCUCUACAGACCUCUGUGUUAUCUCAAAUAUGCGAUGCUAGCAUUUUAGCAUUCCUUAAAUUAACUACUGUGGUGGAGGGGGUGCAAAGCCAAACUGAGAUGUGAAGAACUCUCUGAACUCUGUAAAAUAUUUGCCCAGAGAAGCAGAGCUGAUUUCUCUUCCAGCACUGAUGCUCCAGUGCCAAUGCUGAGAGGAAGCAGCUGGCCACAUAUGCAAAAAUAAUGCAUAUUAACCCCAAAUCACAUGAAGAAAAGAGAAACCUUGUAAGGUGGACAUCAUGUGAAUUAGGAAGAAAAGUAACAAUGAGUAAUUAGUUAUCAGAAUAAGCCAGCUAUGUGUGCCAGGAAUUAUAAGACUCUCAGUAAAGCAAUUUAGUAACUAAUCACUCUGCCAAUGCAUUCCAUAAGCCAUUGAGAAAACAUAUGAAUAUUUCACUGCAUAAUCUCAAUAGCUUGCCCUGCACCAUGUUUUAUGAUGCUCCCUUGGCAGAUACAUUUUGAGGAACACAUUUUUAGCAAAGUGCUUGCAUGAUUAAGUAUGUCUAUUCUUAAUGAUUUAUCAGUGUCUUAUUAACAGAGAACUGUGCAUUGUCAUUUAUUGGAUCAAAGUGGUUGUACUUGAAAUCAUUUGCCAUACACCAUGUAGGCCUUUCUACCCGUUUUCCUGUAGCAUUAAACCUGCCAUGUGCACAAAUCUCUCAAUGCUUAUGCAUAUUGUCUGUCAACAGACUAUGUGAAAAUGAGCUUAGCCCCUGGUGUUGUGUUGGAACUUCAGAUGCUUGCAGACACUUCAUGAAUGCUCUGUGACACUCAGAAUAGGCUAUUCCCAACAGAAGAGCUUGAACAAUGCUGCAUUUGCAUCAGGUUCAAAUGAGCGAGAGGAACAUUUGGCUAAAAUAUUUGGAACCAGCAUUGCUUGGAAUUCUCCUAAACCAGAAUAUUUCCUUGGCAGUGUGGACAAAAUUCCUGAUAAAGAUCACCUUUCAGAGGAGAAGAAUUUUAAAGAAUCCUGUCUGUUCGACAGGGAUUUAAGAGAGCAGUUAACUACUAUAGAUAAAGAAACACUUCAAGGAGCAGCUAAACCAGAUGCUCACUUUAGGACUAUGCCCUGCGGGCAGCUUCUGCACUUCCUGCAGAGGAACACCAUCAUCGCCGCCGUCUCAGGGGUGGCCAUCCUCAUGGCCAUCGUGCUGUUGCUGCUUGGGUUGGCCUCAUACAUCAGGAAGAAACAGCCAUCAUCUCCUCUGGCAAACACGACAUAUAAUAUUUUUAUAAUGGAUGGAAAGACAUGGUGGCACAAUUCUGAAGAAAAAAAUUUCACAAAACUUGCAAAAAAACAGAAACAGUUGAAGAGCAGCUCCUGUGUCUAAGCCAGGUCGUGGGGCCGUCAAACCAGGACUUGAAACCACAAUGCGAGGACAUUCUCCAUCUGCGCACCACAGGGAGGCAAUUCCAUUUCUGCCCGGGAGGUGUAUUCUACAAAAACGUCUGCUUCCCAUCCCAAUUUGAAUGGACCAAGAAAAACUGCUUUACCAUAGGACACUUGUGGCAAUAUGGCACCGAUGGCUGGCGUCGGUGAACCCGACAGACUAUGGAUUUAUCAUUUAAUAAAGCAUUGAUUCAUUUUUUCAGUCAUUCAUUGAACAGAUAUUAAUAGACCACCUCACAUGCUGACAAUAUCAAAAUACAAUGAGGAAACUAACAGUGACCCAGGCAUGCAUUCUUCCCCGAGCAAGAUCACAGUCCAUGGUGUGAGCACAACCAUACUAAAUAGCUUUUAUGGGAGGUGGGAGUACAGAAAGUAUUAUAUCUGCAAAGAAACUGCUAAGAAUUGUGGGAGCGCCCCAGGAGGUGAUUUCCUGCUUGCGUGACCAGCACAAAGAAAUGGGGUAAUUGAGAGUGUCAUGAAGUGGGGUUAUUUAUUUAUUGAGUC